AACGAACGCUGGCGGCAUGCCUAACACAUGCAAGUCGAACGAGACCUUCGGGUCUAGUGGCGCACGGGUGCGUAACGCGUGGGAAUCUACCCUUGGGUUCGGAAUAACUCAGAGAAAUUUGAGCUAAUACCGGAUGAUGUCGCAAGACCAAAGAUUUAUCGCCCAAGGAUGAGCCCGCGUAGGAUUAGCUUGUUGGUGAGGUAAAAGCUCACCAAGGCGACGAUCCUUAGCUGGUCUGAGAGGAUGAUCAGCCACACUGGGACUGAGACACGGCCCAGACUCCUACGGGAGGCAGCAGUGGGGAAUAUUGGACAAUGGGCGAAAGCCUGAUCCAGCAAUGCCGCGUGAGUGAUGAAGGCCUUAGGGUUGUAAAGCUCUUUUACCCGGGAUGAUAAUGACAGUACCGGGAGAAUAAGCCCCGGCUAACUCCGUGCCAGCAGCCGCGGUAAU
rnacentral:rRNA from 1 species